rnacentral:misc_RNA from 1 species
UACGGAGGGUGCAAGCGUUAUCCGGAAUCAUUGGGUUUAAAGGGUCCGUAGGCGGGAUAAUAAGUCGGCGGUGAAAGUCUGUGGCUCAACCAUAGAAUUGCCAUUGAUACUGUUGUUCUUGAGUGCUUAUGAGGUGGCUAGAAUAUGUAGUGUAGCGGUGAAAUGCAUAGAUAUUACAUAGAAUACCGAUGGCGAAGGCAGAUCACUAAUAAAAUACUGACGCUGAUGGACGAAAGCGUAGGUAGCGAACAGG